rnacentral:piRNA from 1 species
UACCGACAGCUACGCACAUACGGAAG